GUUCAAAAACAAUGGACGAUCCACUACUGCCAUCAGUGAUUUCCUGUGUGCAUCUGGAAGGCUUCUGUUCUGCCAUUCUGUCCAUGCUGCAGUUGCAUGUAACUACACAGGCAGAUGCUGGCACAUUUAGCAGGCUUUAAUGAAAAUUAUUUCCACCCUGGUCAAAGUUUGACUGUAAGGCAUUUCAUCUGGAAGCUGAAGGACCUCUGUCUAUAUGACAGUGAGCUGAGCGUCUCUAAAGUACUAGAGAUCCUCUUGGUGGAAAGUCCUGCCAUCUACAACGUCACCCAUAGCAACCUGGAACUGGAGAUUACUUUUCCAGAGUUCUUUGAGGCAUUGCUGGGCUGUGCCAAGGUGAAAGGCAAGACAUUCCAAGAUAUAGGUCAUCGGGAAGACACUGUGUAGGAUGCAGAGCCGAGUUUACUUCAGAAUGAAUCAAGAAUGAAAUCCCCCCUCCCCGUUAUUUCCUCUUGUGCUGGCAGUACAAAGUCUCUUGAGACUGUUCCAUCUCAUGAAAUCCAUCAGUUAUCCCUAUAUGAAGAAUUGGAAAUACAAAGUCCUGCACUUACUUCUAAAGGUUGCUGAAAUCAGUGGAACUGAGGCACAGCUAGAGGACUGGACUCAGAAAACAGCAGUUCUUCACUAGGAUCUUCUUCCAUACAUAUGUGCACAGUGUGAAGGAGCUGGUGGAGGAGAAACUUUAUAAGAUUAUAGAAAAGAAUAUAACUACUCUUGCAGAAGCAAAGGACAAGCCAAGACAUAUUAAGCAAUUGGAGGCUGUGGAAAAAAAGGGACAAGGAAAAGGAAGAUGGAAACAGACAGGGGCAGAGUUCCAGACAAUGAUCUUAAUCACUCGCCUCUUUCUGCCAUGACCCCUGUGACCUCCACCACAUCUG